UUUAAAUGUAGAUUAAAAAACUAAGUGAUUAAUAGUUAUGUUCUUUAAAGCUAAAUGAUUUGGCGGUAUUUUAAUCUUUUCAGAGGAACCUGUUCAGUUAUUGAUAAUCCACAAUUAUAUUAACUUAAAUUAGAAAUUUUUAUAUCGUCGUUGUUAAAUAUUUUAUAAGAAUUUAAUAUUUAAAAUAUUUUAUUAAGAAGUAAAUCAGAUCAAGGUGAAGUUUAUAUUUAAGAUGAAAUGGGUUACAUUAAAUUAAAUUUUUGGAUUAUAGAUUUUAAAAAUUAUAUGAAAUUGGAUUUGAAAGUAAUUAGUUAUAUUUAUUUCUAAUGAUUAAGCGCUAAAAUAUGU
rnacentral:rRNA from 1 species